rnacentral:rRNA from 1 species
AAGCUGAUGUAUAGGGGCUGACGCCUGCCCGGUGCUGGAAGGUUAAGGGGAACACUUAGCAUAAGCGAAGGUGUGAACUUAAGCCCCAGUAAACGGCGGCCGUAACUAUAACGGUCCUAAGGUAGCGAAAUUCCUUGUCAGGUAAGUUCUGACCCGCACGAAUGGCGUAAUGACUUGGGCACUGUCUCAACUGCAAAUCCGGCGAAAUUGUAGUGCCAGUGAAGAUGCUGGCUACCCGCGAUUGGACGGAAAGACCCCGUAGAGCUUUACUGCAAUUUAGCAUUGAGUUUCGGUAUUGUCUGUACAGGAUAGGUGGGAGGCUGAGAAAUAGGAUCGUCAGGUCCUAUGGAGCCACCCUUGGGAUACCACCCUGACAGUACUGGGAUUCUAACCGGGCACCAUGAAGCUGGUGACGGGACAUUGUUAGGUGGGCAGUUUGACUGGGGCGGUCGCCUCCAAAAAAGUAACGGAGGCGCCCAAAGGUUCCCUCAGAAGGGUCGGAAAUCCUUCGAAGAGUGCAAAGGCAGAAGGGAGCCUGACUGCAAGACCAACAAGUCGAGCAGGGACGAAAGUCGGGCUUAGUGAUCCGGUGGUACCUCGUGGGAGGGCCAUCGCUCAACG